GUGGGGAAUAUUGGGCAAUGGGGGCAACCCUGACCCAGCAACGCCGCGUGAGGGAAGAAGGUUUUCGGAUUGUAAACCUCUGUCCUAUGGGAAGAAGGAAGUGACGGUACCAUAGGAGGAAGCCCCGGCUAACUACGUGCCAGCAGCCGCGGUAAUACGUAGGGGGCGAGCGUUGUCCGGAAUUACUGGGCGUAAAGGGUGCGCAGGUGGCCUGACAAGUCAGAUGUGAAAUACCGAUGCUUAACGUCGGGGCUGCAUUUGAAACUAUGAGGCUGGAGUGCAGGAGAGGGAAGCGGAAUUCCUAGUGUAGCGGUGAAAUGCAUAGAUAUUAGGAGGAACACCAGUGGCGAAGGCGGCUUUCUGGACUGUAACUGACACUGAGGCACGAAAGCGUGGGGAGCAAACAGGAUUAGAUACCCCAGUAGUCC
rnacentral:rRNA from 1 species